rnacentral:ncRNA from 10 species
AAUAUUACUGGGAAUGAGGUUCUCCCAGGAACGAGAUAGAAAUAGCUAAAUCUUUCGUUCAUAACCGCUUGAUUAUAAAGCUGAUGACUUCUGCAAAGCG